UAGCCGUGCUAUGACAUUGUGGGUCCAUACUCCGGCGGCAACGCUUCAGCGAAAAAAAAAACUAUCCUUCGAGACGCUGCACGACGGCAGGGACGCAUAGCUAUGGCGACGGCGGAGGCGACAGGCGAGGGCUUGGAGUUCCUAUCGGAUCCAGUUGACAGGUUUCCUCUACCAGAUCUCGCCGCUGAUGAAUCGCUGCUAAGCGGCGGAGGCAACCAAACUUUCGUAUGCACGGCUACCGAAUCCAGUAUCGGUGAUGUGGGCGAUGCGGCGGUGACAUUGGAACUAUAUUUGCAGAGCGAAUGCAAUGGAGUGGCUCUGUCGGCGCCGAACUCAGAGUAGUUGACGGGCAAAGACGAUCCUCAGGCGCCGGGCUGGACCAAGAGUCUGCUUGUUGGGCAUGCACCUGAAGUCCUGAAGAACGCCCUCCGUGUGCUGGCAGAAUGAGUGCUCUUGAAAAAGCAUUGAGAAGAUAUGCUGAGAAGAAAAAGGACACUGUAAUAGUGCCUGCAGUAGGAAGCACGUCUCAUUCACUUGGAGAAGCUUAUGACUAUUACAAUUUGUAUUCCUGGGAGAUUGGAUUUGGGGUAAGAUAUGGCAAGAGCAGGCUUAAUGUUGAAAGGACAAAAUGCAUGCAAGAGAUAGUAUGUGGCUGCUCGGGGAUUUCGAAGAAAAGCAACACCCGGACUUGCUGGUGCAGGUGCCCCGCGCUCAUACGAUUGCUUCGAUCAAAGGACAAUGGAUGGUACAUAAGUGAGUUCAUAUCAUCACACAACCAUUCGUUAAUGGAGAAGUGUGGCGGGAAGGUGUACUCGUCGUGCUCACAGAUCAAUGCAAGGCGAUGGAAGUAGCAAUAGAGAAAGUGAUGCCACACACGACUCACCGUUGGUGCAAGUGGCACAUGCACUUGGUAAUUUCGUGGGGCUAAAAGCUCCAGAAUGAAAACGAAAGCCUGGUAACCAAUCACCUGCAGGGAUAAACCUCCAUAUGAUGAUCGUGGUGCAAAAAGCAAGAAGUACAGACUGACAGGAAAUGCACAAGCUGGAAAUGGACGCGGGACAAGUAAACGAACUCGCUUCUCCAGUAUAUGUUGAGAACCAGGGCACAAGAGCACCACAUGUCCACAAAGAGGUGAUCUUCCUCAAAAAGAAAGGAAAGCGGCAAAAUGCUCGAACUGUGGCUUCGGUGGUCACAGGAAAAACAUCUGCAGCAAGCCUAGGGUUGUACUCCAUGUUGAAAAUGCUACCUUACAGCCAAAUGCAAUUUGCGGGUGACUUCAUUUAGAUUUAGUGUUUUUGUUCUGUGUUGUAAUAAUAACCGUAAGUGAAGUACGCGUUGUUUGAGGUCAGGUUGUUGUGAUUUGAAUGUUUAUCAUGUAGAAGAAAAAAUGUAUGAGAGUCUGCCUAUUGUUGUAGUGUGCCUGUGCAUCUCCCAUUUUGUAUUUCACUGAGUUCUUGUUUGAGAAAUCAAUCUGGUCUGGUGCAUUGUGUGAGGAGAGAUUCAGUUGAUUUUA